rnacentral:rRNA from 1 species
GACGAACGCUGGCGGCGUGCCUAAUACAUGCAAGUUGAGCGCUGAAUGUUGGUACUUGUACCAACUGGCUGAGCAGCGAACGGGUUUUUAACGCGUGGGGAAUCUGCCUUUGAGCGGUGGAUAACAUUUGGAAACGAAUGCUAAUACCGCAUAAAACCUUUACACAUAAGUUUUAAGUUUUAAAGCCGCAAUUGCAUCACUUAAAGAUGAUCUCGCGUUAUAUUAGUUAGGUGGUGAGGUAAAGGCUCACCAAGGCGAUGAAACAUAGCCGACCUGAGAGGGUGAUCGGCCACAAUGGGACUGGAACAAGGCCCAAGAUCCUAAGGGGAGCAGCAGUAGGGGAUCUUCGGCAAUGGACGGAAGGCUGGCCGGGCAAAGCCGGGUGGGUGAAGGAGGUUUUCGGGUCGUAAAACUCUGUUGGUAGAGAAGAAAGUUAGUGGGAGUGGAAAGCUCAGCAAGUGACGGUAACUAACCAGAAAGGGACGGCUAACUACGUG